GCAAGUCGAACGGUAACAGGUGUAGCAAUACAUGCUGACGAGUGGCAGACGGGUGAGGAACUCGUACGCAAUCUUCCUCUUUCUGGUGAAUAGCCCUGAGAAAUUAGGAUUAAUACACCAUAGUAUUACGAGAUGGCAUCAUUUUGUAAUUAAAACUCCGGUGGAAAGAGAUGAGCGUGCGCCUGAUUAGAUAGUUGGUGAGGUAACGGCUCACCAAGUCAACGAUCAGUAACUGGUGUGAGAGCACGACCAGUCACACGGGCACUGAGAUACGGGCCCGACUCCUACGGGAGGCAGCAGUAAGGAAUAUUGGUCAAUGGACGCAAGUCUGAACCAGCCAUACCGCGUGAAGGAUGAAGGCCCUCUGGGUUGUAAACUUCUUUUAUCUGGGAAGAAAUCCACUGUUUCUACGGUGGUUGACGGUAUCAGAGGAAUAAGCACCGGCUAACUCCGUGCCAGCAGCCGCGGUAAUACGGAGGGUGCAAGCGUUAUCCGGAUUUACUGGGUUUAAAGGGUGCGUAGGCGGGCUUUUAAGUCAGCGGUGAAAUCUCCGGGCUCAACCCGGAAAUUGCCGUUGAUACUAUUAGUCUUGAAUUAAGUUGAGGUGGGCGGAAUAUGUCAUGUAGCGGUGAAAUGCUUAGAUAUGACAUAGAACACGGAUUGCGAAGGCAGCUCGCUAAACUUAUAUUGACGCUGAGGCACGAAAGCGUGGGGAUCAAACAGGAUUAGAAACCCUGGUAGUCCACGCCCUAAACGAUGAUUACUCGAUCUUAGCGAUACACAGUUAGGGUCUAUGCAAAAGCAUUAAGUAAUCCACCUGGGGAGUACGACCGCAGGUUGAAACUCAAGAAUUGACGGGGGUCCGCACAAGCGGUGGA
rnacentral:rRNA from 1 species